GAUAAUGGCAGGAGGAAGGCAUCCCAUGAAAAUAACUUUCAGUGUAGGAUUCAAGUCUAGUGGGAAAAUUACGGCCUUAAAUCUUGAUAUACUGAUCAAUGCUGGCAUAUAUCUAGACAUAAGUCCAGUUUUGCCACAUAACAUAAUGGGAGCAUUGAAAAAAUAUGACUGGGGUGCUUUAUCUUUUGAUAUGAAGGUAUGCAAAACAAACCUUCUAAGUAGAUCAGCAAUGCGAGCCCCUGGAGAGGUGCAAGGUUCAUAUAUUGCAGAAGCCGUAAUUGAACAUGUGGCAUCUUCUCUUUCCAUGGAUGCAGAUUCAGUUAGAGCCAUAAAUCUCCACACCCAUGAUAGCCUUAACUCAUUCUAUGAUGUUAGUGCUGGAGAACCUCUUGAAUACACUUUACCUUCAUUAUGGGAUAAGUUAGCGACAUCUUCGAGCUUUAUCCAAAGGACUGAAAUGAUAAAAGA
rnacentral:misc_RNA from 1 species